rnacentral:misc_RNA from 1 species
UUGAAUGAAAUCGGGGGACUGUUGCUGGCCCGUCAAAGGGCAUGUGCACGUCUCCCAAUUUGCCUUCUCCACCUGUGCACUUUUUGUAGACCCGGGAGAACACCUCUCGAGGAAACUCGGAUGGGGGGGUCGCCGUCAAGGCUUCCCCUGCGUUCAACCUGGUCUAUGCUUUUCACACACACUUUGAAUGUCUCAGAAUGUCUUUCAAUGGCUUGCCGUAAAAAAGCAACGCUAUAAAACUUAUA